UACGUAGGGGGCGAGCGUUGUCCGGAUUUAUUGGGCGUAAAGAGCUCGUAGGCGGUUGGGUAAGUCGGGUGUGAAAACUCAGGGCUCAACUCUGAGACGCCACUCGAUACUGCCCUGACUCGAGUCCGGUAGGGGAGCGUGGAAUUCCCGGUGUAGCGGUGAAAUGCGCAGAUAUCGAGAGGAACACCUGCGGCGAAGGCGGGUUGCUGGGCUGACACUGACGCUGAUGCGCGAAAGCUAGGGGAGCGAACGGG
rnacentral:rRNA from 1 species